rnacentral:lncRNA from 1 species
AACAUGAAAUUUUAUACCAGACUAAUCUUAAAACCAAAUGAGAGCUUUUACACCAAGCACAACUCACGAUCCAAACGAAGAUUUUAAUGGGCAAUCUCACAAACCAAAUGAGAGCUUUUACACAAGGCAAAGCUCACAACCCAAACUGAUAUUUUCACAGACCAUCUCAUGAACCAAACAACAAAUUCUCACCAGAGAUAUUCCAUAAGAGAUGAAAUUAUCUUUCACAAAUUACAAUAUUACCUUAGAACCAGAAUACACAAGAAAAAACCUCAUUGAUAUAUUUUUUUAAAUCAC